AAAGAAUUAUUUUAAUUAAAAAAAUUGAUCUGUCAGAUCAAAAAUGCUAAUUUAGCAUUCUUUU
rnacentral:tRNA from 1 species